AGUAACGGUUUGGACCCCCUUUUGCCUUCAGAACUACCUCAAUUCUUCGUGGCAUAGAUUCAACAAGGUGCUGGAAGCAUUCCUCAGAGAGCUUGGUCCAUGUUGACAUGAUGGCAUCACACAGUUGCCGCAGAUUUGGCCGUGUGUUUGACAGAUUUUGUCAAAUUUGCUCUAUUGGAUUGAGAUCUGGUGACUGUGGAGGCCAUUUGAGUACAGUGAACUCAUUGUCAUGUUCAAGAAACCAGUCUGAGAUGAUUCCAGCUUUAUGACAUGGCGCAUUAUCCUGCUGAAAGUAGCCAUCAGAAGUUGGGUACAUUGUGGUCAUAAAG